UUUUUUUUCCCCUUUCAACUUUUCAUAAUCUGAUCGUCGUCUUAUUCUCUUCUGCUCGAAACAAGCCUAGCUUAGAUCCUUUAUUGCUUGAUCCUCUUUUGCUUAGAUCCCCUUUUGCUCUUUCGCUGAUAUCCUAUUACGCUGCCAUCGACUUUGCUCUUUUUCUCUAACUCUCUCUCUCUCUCUCUCUCUCUCUCUCUCUCUCUAUCUCUCUCUCUCUCUCUCUCUCUCUCUCCUGAAAUUUCCCAGCUCGAGCUCCCCUCUGUAAAUAAAAACAGAAAGGACUUGUUAAAUCCAAGGUAAUAAUUGUCUAAUUUGUAUGGGUUAUUGUAUUGUUUUAUGUAUGGGUUAUUAUAUAUAUUGACUUGAGUCUCGAUUUGUUCAAGUUUUUGAGUAUGAGUUUAAUAGAUUUAUUAUUUUCAUCUUUUCUUAUUCGGAAUCAUCAAAUAAGCAGACACUAAAUCUUAUCGGGUAUCUUAGCUAAUGAGAUUUCAUUCUCGAAUCAGAUUAAUGUGGCUGACCAUUUCAUUUGGUUCAAUGUGACUGUUUGUUUAAUUAUUUGUAUGCCAAUUUGGUCGGAGCUGUUGUGUUAUUGUUGUUAACAUCGAUAAGGCUUGGGUUUGGUUACCAAGGGUUAGCCUUUAAUAUGAGCAAGGAGCCACUAAAUUUGUGUAUGACUAAAAAAGACUAUUGGGUAAUGUUGGGCAUAUAUUAUGUCUUUCUUUUUCCUUUUUUGUUCAAAAACUUGUCAAAGAGAAAAUAAUGAUGUCUCUAAGUCUGAAGUAAGUAAUGUUAGCAAAGGGGGAGUUAGGUGUCAGCUACUGGACUGGUGUUCUUCUGAUGAUGUUUUUGUCGGUGAAGGAGAAUUUUGCUCUACUGAUCAGAUGUACAAGAUUGGUCGUAUUCCAAUUGUACCAAACGUUGUAGCUGUUAAAAUGAAGUCUAUAACAAAACCAGAAGCACAUCUAUGGAGGCCCACCAAACCAUUGAAAAACUUGGGACAAUGUGGGAGUGAAGAUUCCAUGGCCAGCUAAGAAAGUGAUAAUUGACAAUGCUACCUACACCCCUGGAACAGAAACUGAUGGAUCAUCGGUAAUAUUUUUUCUUAUUAUAUACCUCUACACAUUAAUUUGUUAUAGAUUGAUUAAUAUUUUAUUUUUUUGCAUAACUACUGGUUAAUAUAAUAUUAUAUUGUGUUCAAGCUGGAAGAGUUUACAUUUUCAAUUAUUGGAAUUUAAAUGAUGAGAUAAUUGGUGAGGGCAUAUUGUGUUCAACUGAUCCAAAAUAUUUUUUCAACAAUAUACCUCUGGGUCCGAAUGCCUGCAUUGUGAAGGUUUACCAGGUCGAUGAAAGUGAUGCUUUCUUGUGGAGACCAACUCUUGAAAUUUCAAAUUUAGGUUAUGCACUUAUUGAGAACAUCGCAUGGCCUAUUAACUGGAAAAAAUUAUUUAAUCCUGAUACACCUACUGAGGAUACAACAAGGAAAUCACCGACGAGUGCAAGUAACAGUACAAGUAGUAGCAACACUACAAAACACUAGUGCAUCUUAUUAGACUGCAAUGACUAUGGAGAAAGAGUUGCACAAGGCCGAGUAUCUUCUACUAAUCCAACAGAAGUUUCUCUCCUUCGAUGUCUCUAGUCAGUUGACGCUUUGUUUAUCCUCCGAAGCAGCAUUAACAACAGGAGCCACCAUAAGCAGCGACCCAAAAGAGUUAGAACCCAGAACCGACUUGUUGGAGAACCCAGAACCGGUUUGUUGAUGGUUGCUAAAGGAUUCCAACAUAUUUACAAAUUCCCUUAGCCUUUGAAAGUUGAAUCUUUCUCGCUAAUCUCCCAAAGUGUUGCAUUACGUGAAGGAAUCAUACCAAAGAUCCACCAACAGCCACCAGAAGAAGCACAUGAUGAUCAAGGAAGUGAUGUGGUGGAGCUCACACCAGUAGAAUACGGAAGAAAUAUAGGAUACUUCAUAUGGGUUGAGGAAGACGAACAAGACACCGAACCUGAGUUCCGAAGACUUAUCCAAAAUCUCAAAAACGAAGAACAAAGGCUUAGACACCAAAAAUUCUCCGCUGCAAUGAAACGACCAAAACAAGUACAAGGUUGACUCCUCAAGAAGCAAGUCGCAUCGUCGAAACUAAGAGGCAGAAGCUGAAGGUGUUAAUUAAUCUACAUAUGAACUUUGGUUAAAUUAUUUAUUUGUAUGGUUUACUUUCAACUUUGUAUUUUGGAUUUGAACAAUGGUUUGUAAACUUCAAGUGAGGGUCUUUCAUUUAUAAUAAUAUGAACAAUGAAUAAUAUUUAAUU